rfam:Salmo salar isolate Sally breed double haploid chromosome ssa19, whole genome shotgun sequence.
UGCACUCAUAAGUGUAAGUCGCUCUGGAUAAGAGCAUCUGCUAAAUUACUAAAA